AUUGAACGCUGGCGGCAGGCCUAACACAUGCAAGUCGAACGAGUGGCGGACGGGUGAGUAAUGUCUGGGAAACUGCCUGCUGGAGGGGGAUAACUACUGGAAACGGUAGCUAAUACCGCAUACCAUCGGAUGUGCCCAGAUGGGAUUAGCUAGUAGGUGGGGUAAAGGCUCACCUAGGCGACGAUCCCUAGCUGGUCUGCGAGGAUGACCAGCCCCACUGGAACUGAGACACGGUCCAGACUCCUACGGUAGGCAGCAGUGGGGAAUAUUGCACAAUGGGCGCAAGCCUGAUGCAGCCAUGCCGCGUGUAUGAAGAAGGACUUCGGGUUGUAAAGUACUUUCAGCGGGGAGGCGUUACCCGCAGAAGAAGCACCGGCUAACUCCGUGCCAGCAGCCGCGGUAAUUC
rnacentral:rRNA from 1 species